UAUGGUAGUAAUGUCUAAAUAGAUUCAUUUUUCAAAAUAUAAUCCAUCUUGAACAAGUGUUUAUAUCAAGAGCUUUCCUAAGACUGUGCUGCAAAAAUGUUUCGAACAGACCGCAAAGGGUUAUGCAGACAUGAUCAGAGAAAAUGAGUAACAACUAAAAAGUAUUACUUUAUUAUUACAGAGAUGAAAUUACUGGAUGACAUUAGUCACAGUUCAUCUCAAAACGGUCUCAAACGGUUCUCAGAUUUGCUAAAAUACUAAGUCAGUAUAAAUUUAAAUGUUUCUAAUCAAAUUCUUCGAAUGAUCUGCAUUUUGCUAUCAACAUUAAUUUGACAGCUCUGCACUUUAAGUGUAUGUCAACAAUUGCCUGUCUACUUUUAUUGUAGGAGAACAAUAGCAUUGUCCAGGGGUGGCGAACUCCGGUCCUGGAGAGCCGCAGCCCUGCAGAAUUCAGCUCUAACCCUAAUUAAAACUCACCUGCCUGUAGCUUUCUAGUAACCUUUCAGACCUUGAUUAGCUUGUUCAGGUGGGUUUGAUUAGGGUUGAAGCACAACUCUGCAGGGCUGAGGCUGGCAUUGUCCUUUCUGUAUAUUAUCACACUUAAAAUAUUUCUCACAAAGUAUUUAACAUUUAUAAGGGAACAUGAUUUAGGGAUCUUUGGCAUUAAAACAUCGGAAAACUCCUGAUUUAAUAACAACUAUCCAGAUUUCCCAUUUUUAUUUGAGUAGUUAAGUAUUUAAAUAUAAUGGUAUUUCUUAUGUUCAGAAGACAAUGAAAUGUACUUGAUUGCAGUUAAUUGUCUUUAUUUCAGGUAUUUAUGCUAUUUAUAGCCUUCCAAUGCCAAUGCCAAACUAAAAUUCCACCCAUGACAGAUGGACGUUGUUCAAAAGGAUAUUACAAAUCAGGACAGGACUGUGUGAAGUGUGCGAGUGGUUUUUAUACUGAUUUACCAAAUAAUCUGAAACAUUGUUUGAGAUGUA
rnacentral:lncRNA from 1 species